UUUUUUGUUUUGUUUCCAAUAAAUUUAUAUAUAUCUUUAAACUCGAAUGUUUGACAUUAGGUUGUAUAGUGCUUGUAUUAUCUUUAAAAAUAAAAAAUAAAAAAUACCCCUAGAGAGUUAACUUCGAGAAAAUUCAAAGAGUUAAUUAAUAAUAAUAAAAAAAAGUAAUACAAAACCAAUUAAACACAAAGUUAAAAGUCGACAACUUAUUAGAAAGAUCUUUCUAAAUAUAGGGACAAAAUAGACAUAAGUAAACUUCAUUUUCCACACAUAUAUAUGUAUAUCCUCAAUUCCACCAAAUUAAAAGGGAUAAUUAGAAGAAAUUAUUUUCAAGUUUGUUUGUUUUUUAUUUUUAAAAUAUUGCAGGUUGCAUCAAGGUUUCUUCUUCUAGUUCAAGAAAUGCAUGAGAAAGACAGUGGAUCAAAAGGAUUGUUUUGUAAUUUGGGAGAUAUUCUUUUGUUUGGGAACAAACAAAGGCUAAAAGUUGGGGAUUCUGAUAAAAACAUAUAUUUGGAUUAUAGAAUUGGAAGGCUUAAAAAGUGCUUCAAUCAAUUAAAUGGUUGGAGGGAUUGUUUUUCUUCCAUGAUUGAUUUUCUUGAAGGCAAUUGUGUUUCUCAGUACCAAACAUUCUUAAAAGACAAAAAAGGACCAAAAAAAGUCAAGUCUUUUAUAGAAUUUGUAAGGAUGAAGUAUAAAACCAUUUCUUGUUCACUCAAAGAGUGCAUAUCAAUGUUUUGCACUCUCAUUCCCAAAGCCAUUUUGAAGCAUAAUUUUGAGAGGUUGGGUUGUGCUAUGAUUUUGAUAGAUUCUUUUGAAUCCUUGUUGAAUUCAAUUGGGUUGUUUCCAAGGAUCUUGAGAAGCUAUUUUCCGAAAAAUUAGAAGAAGUUGUCGAAAAUCUCGAGUAUGAGAAGUUUUUGAAGGGGAGAAAUGAUUGUGUGUUGGUUUUGAAAUCUUUGAAACAUUCGUUGAGUGAAUUUAGACUUCCUCAAAGUGCAAGCAAAGGACGGCUUAGAGACUUUUGCUUUAGGAUUGCUUCUUUGUUCUUUUGCACGGUAUCGAGCUCGUUUAAGCUGUAUUCUGUAACAAUCCAAGUAUGUAUAUAAAUAUUACCGAAAAUUAUAAGUUUUAAUUUUAAAAUUAAUUCUAAGACUAGUUGGAGAAGACCAAUUUUAAAUUUCAUACGUUAAGAUUAAAAAUGGUACAUAAAUAAUAAGGAAAAUACACAAAACAUUAGUUUGGUAAUUAAACAAAUAACAAAAUAAUAAAAUUUCUAAGAAAUAAAAUAAUGAUGAUAUGGGAUGAUUUUUAAGUAGAAAAAUCUAGUAAGUUUAAAAACAAAAUAAAUAGAUAAAAUAACUUAGAACAUCUGAGAAAUAUCUAGAUAAACUAAAAUAAUAAUAACAAUAAUAAUAAAUAAUAAAAGUUGAGUUGAAUUGGUUAGAAAAGAGAUAGCAAAAAAAUAAUGACACUUCAAAAAAAAGAGAGAGAUUAUAGGAAAUGAUUUUAUUAAUAAUAAAAACUAUUAAAAUAUGAAGAAAGUUUAAAAUAGUAAUAAUGAAAAAAAAUAACAACAACAAGUAAUAAAGUCGGUUAAUUGGUGAGAGAGAAAAAAAAUAAAUAAAAAAGAAAGAAGAAAGAAGAAAGAAGAAAGAAGAAAGAUAUGUAAGUCGAUUAAAUAAAUAAAUAAAUAAUAACAAUAAUAAUACAAAUAAAAGGCGAUGGGGAGAUGACUAUAAAUAGGCUUGGUGUGUUGUUUUGCAACAAGAAAAUGGAAGGAUCAAAAUCCUUUUAAAGCAUUUCUUGAAUUUUGGGAUUCAUACAAGAUCAAAUCAGAAGGAAUAAUUAGAAGCGCAGUUGAGACUUUGUAGAUAAGAACACAACAUAGGUGGCAGGACUGGACGUCGCUCAAAGGGCUAACCAUCAAACUCACUGUUAUGGCUAUAUAUGCAUUUUGUACCACUACGCUAAUGUUUUAUGGAUCUUGGUGUUCUGUAAAAUAAACUUUUUAUACAGUUUUCUACCUAAUUAAUAAAAGUUUAGAUACGUUCUUUUGAAAUUUUUACUAAAACUCAUCUCAUGAUAGAAAAGUCUAAGUAUGCAUAUCGUAGCUAUCGGACCUUAUUAUGUAAGGGUCAGAUCGUUACAUAUUCGAUGCAGAAUGUGGCGCCAUUGGAGACAUUGGUGAUGGAUGAAGCUGCACUCGAGUGUGAGGCUGCAAUUCCUUUGCAAUUUCCUUGCCUUAUUGGUGAUGAAUGCCAAUUGCCUGCUAUGGUUGAAAGCAAAGUUGCAGAUGAAGCCAAGUUUGGAAGAAGCUUGUUUGAGAGGUUGAGUUCAUUGGGCCAUCAAAAGCAUCUUCUGAAUGUACAGUGUAGAAUGCAUCCAUCUAUAAGCUGUUUUCCAAACUCAAAAGUUUUAUUCAAGCCAAAUCUCAGAUGGCCCUAAUGUCAAAACUAAAGCCUAUGUGAAGAAUUUUCUUCAUGGUCACAUGUUUGGUUCAUAUUCUUUCAUAGAUAUAAAUGAGGGAAGAGAAGAGAGGGAUGGCAUUACACAAAGUUGGAAAAAUAUGCUAGAGGUUGAUGUUGUGCUGCAAAUUAUUCACAAAUUGAACAACAAAAGCAACAUGUGUGGACUCAAAUGAAAAGAUUAGCAUUGGUGUGAUCUCACCUUAUUCAGCUUAAGUAGCUUCCAUUGAACACAAACUUGGGAGAAACUAUAAUAACUGUAAUAGCUUUAAAGUAAGAGUGAGCUCACUUGAUGGAUUCCAAGGUGGGGAGGAGGAUAUCAUUAUCAUUUCUACCGUACGAUCAAAUAGAAGUUCAUCGAUCAGGUUCUUAUCCAGUAAUCAGAGAACAAUGUCGCUCUUACUAGAGCUAGCAUUUGGUUUUAAGAUAACUUUUCCUUAUAUUGAAAUGCUAUAAAAUAGACACUGUUUGUGGAUUUUGGGGAACUUCAAUACACUAUCAAAGAGUGAUUCUAUUUGGGAAGAUUUAGUUUUUUAUGCCUAGAACCGUGGUUGUUUCUUCCAUGCUGAUGAAGAUAAGGACUUGGCCAAUGUAAUAUCUAGUUGGAAGACGGAUGUCGAGAAAGAUAUUGAUGAUUUAAUGGUCGGAAAAUGGUGGAACUUGCAAGAAGCGAAAAUUUCGAAGCAUGAAAAUGAAGCUAAUAUGGACAAGGAUAAUGCUCUAACCAUACUUUAAGGACUAAUCAUUCGUUCAAGGGCCCAGAAGCUACAACUUGUAUCGUCCUCAAUCUCGAACCCUGGCGGCAUACUCAUCGAAGAAUGAAAAAGAUGGAAGGGCAGAAGAAAAUAGGUGAGAAGACAUUUAAGGCAUUAGAAAUUGAGGAAAUUACGGAACCCUUAUGUUUAUUAAUUUCUUGAAGAUGCUAAAAUUUGGGAGGAUUCGAAGCUUUCUUCAAACUAUGAAGCUUUUUGUUAUAUUUAAGGGUUUCAAUUCUACUGUUCUAGAAAUGUUCAAGGGUGUUACUACGCUUUAUUAUUAUUAUGCUUUAAACUAAUUAAUGGUGUUUAAUUUCUUCUCCUUUAAUCUAA